GGGUUGUGAGGUUAAGCGACUAAGCGUACACGGUGGAUGCCCUGGCAGUCAGAGGCGAUGAAGGACGUGCUAAUCUGCGAUAAGCGCCGGUAAGGUGAUAUGAACCGUUAUAACCGGCGAUUUCCGAAUGGGGAAACCCAGUGUGACUCGUCACACUAUCAUUAACUGAAUCCAUAGGUUAAUGAGGCGAACCGGGGGAACUGAAACAUCUAAGUACCCCGAGGAAAAGAAAUCAACCGAGAUUCCCCCAGUAGCGGCGAGCGAACGGGGAGGAGCCCAGAGCCUGAAUCAGCAUGUGUGUUAGUGGAAGCGUCUGGAAAGGCGCGCGAUACAGGGUGACAGCCCCGUACACAAAAGCGCAUGUGCUGUGAGCUCGAUGAGUAGGGCGGGACACGUGGUAUCCUGUCUGAAUAUGGGGGGACCAUCCUCCAAGGCUAAAUACUCCUGACUGACCGAUAGUGAACCAGUACCGUGAGGGAAAGGCGAAAAGAACCCCGGCGAGGGGAGUGAAAAAGAACCUGAAACCGUGUACGUACAAGCAGUGGGAGCNNGGGCGUUAAGUUGCAGGGUAUAGACCCGAAACCCGGUGAUCUAGCCAUGGGCAGGUUGAAGGUUGGGUAACACUAACUGGAGGACCGAACCGACUAAUGUUGAAAAAUUAGCGGAUGACCUGUGGCUGGGGGUGAAAGGCCAAUCAAACCGGGAGAUAGCUGGUUCUCCCCGAAAGCUAUUUAGGUAGCGCCUCGUGAAUUCAUCUCCGGGGGUAGAGCACUGUUUCGGCUAGGGGGCCAUCCCGGCUUACCAACCCGAUGCAAACUGCGAAUACCGGAGAAUGUUAUCACGGGAGACACACGGCGGGUGCUAACGUCCGUCGUGAAGAGGGAAACAACCCAGACCGCCAGCUAAGGUCCCAAAGUCAUGGUUAAGUGGGAAACGAUGUGGGAAGGCCCAGACAGCCAGGAUGUUGGCUUAGAAGCAGCCAUCAUUUAAAGAAAGCGUAAUAGCUCACUGGUCGAGUCGGCCUGCGCGGAAGAUGUAACGGGGCUAAACCAUGCACCGAAGCUGCGGCAGCGANNUGCUGGAGGUAUCAGAAGUGCGAAUGCUGACAUAAGUAACGAUAAAGCGGGUGAAAAGCCCGCUCGCCGGAAGACCAAGGGUUCCUGUCCAACGUUAAUCGGGGCAGGGUGAGUCGACCCCUAAGGCGAGGCCGAAAGGCGUAGUCGAUGGGAAACGGGUUAAUAUUCCCGUACUUGGUGUUACUGCGAAGGGGGGACGGAGAAGGCUAUGUUGGCCGGGCGACGGUUGUCCCGGUUUAAGCGUGUAGGUGUGUGUUCCAGGUAAAUCCGGUUCACUUUAACACUGAGGCGUGACGACGAGGCACUACGGUGCUGAAGCAACAAAUGCCCUGCUUCCAGGAAAAGCCUCUAAGCAUCAGGUAACAUCAAAUCGUACCCCAAACCGACACAGGUGGUCAGGUAGAGAAUACCAAGGCGCUUGAGAGAACUCGGGUGAAGGAACUAGGCAAAAUGGUGCCGUAACUUCGGGAGAAGGCACGCUGACAUGUAGGUGAAGUGAUUUACUCAUGGAGCUGAAGUCAGUCGAAGAUACCAGCUGGCUGCAACUGUUUAUUAAAAACACAGCACUGUGCAAACACGAAAGUGGACGUAUACGGUGUGACGCCUGCCCGGUGCCGGAAGGUUAAUUGAUGGGGUCAGCGCAAGCGAAGCUCCUGAUCGAAGCCCCGGUAAACGGCGGCCGUAACUAUAACGGUCCUAAGGUAGCGAAAUUCCUUGUCGGGUAAGUUCCGACCUGCACGAAUGGCGUAAUGAUGGCCAGGCUGUCUCCACCCGAGACUCAGUGAAAUUGAACUCGCUGUGAAGAUGCAGUGUACCCGCGGCAAGACGGAAAGACCCCGUGAACCUUUACUAUAGCUUGACACUGAACAUUGAGCCUUGAUGUGUAGGAUAGGUGGGAGGCUUUGAAGUGUGGACGCCAGUCUGCAUGGAGCCGACCUUGAAAUACCACCCUUUAAUGUUUGAUGUUCUAACGUGGACCCGUUAUCCGGGUUGCGGACAGUGUCUGGUGGGUAGUUUGACUGGGGCGGUCUCCUCCUAAAGAGUAACGGAGGAGCACGAAGGUUGGCUAAUCCUGGUCGGACAUCAGGAGGUUAGUGCAAUGGCAUAAGCCAGCUUGACUGCGAGCGUGACGGCGCGAGCAGGUGCGAAAGCAGGUCAUAGUGAUCCGGUGGUUCUGAAUGGAAGGGCCAUCGCUCAACGGAUAAAAGGUACUCCGGGGAUAACAGGCUGAUACCGCCCAAGAGUUCAUAUCGACGGCGGUGUUUGGCACCUCGAUGUCGGCUCAUCACAUCCUGGGGCUGAAGUAGGUCCCAAGGGUAUGGCUGUUCGCCAUUUAAAGUGGUACGCGAGCUGGGUUUAGAACGUCGUGAGACAGUUCGGUCCCUAUCUGCCGUGGGCGCUGGAGAACUGAGGGGGGCUGCUCCUAGUACGAGAGGACC
rnacentral:rRNA from 1 species